UGGGGAAUAUUGGACAAUGGGCGCAAGCCUGAUCCAGCCAUGCCGCGUGUGUGAAGAAGGUCUUCGGAUUGUAAAGCACUUUAAGUUGGGAGGAAGGGCAGUAAGCGAAUACCUUGCUGUUUUGACGUUACCGACAGAAUAAGCACCGGCUAACUCUGUGCCAGCAGCCGCGGUAAUACAGAGGGUGCAAGCGUUAAUCGGAAUUACUGGGCGUAAAGCGCGCGUAGGUGGUUCGUUAAGUUGAAUGUGAAAGCCCCGGGCUCAACCUGGGAACUGCAUCCAAAACUGGCGAGCUAGAGUAGGGCAGAGGGUGGUGGAAUUUCCUGUGUAGCGGUGAAAUGCGUAGAGAUCUGGAGGAAUACCGAUGGCGAAGGCAGCCAUCUGGCCUAACACUGACGCUGAGGUACGAAAGCAUGGGGAGCAAACAGG
rnacentral:rRNA from 1 species